AGCAGUGUAGCAUAAUGGUAAGGAGCAGGGCUUGUAACCGAGAGGUUGCUGGUUCGAUUCCCUGCUAGGGUGCUGCUG